CAAAAUACAUCCUUGUUGAAUGUCAAAACAUAUGCAAAGAUACAGAGAUCUACCACGCAAAGCUCUUUGGACCAUCUAAUGUGACUGAAGGGACCACAAUACAUUUCAAGUUUCAUAUUAAUGACAUCACAAUAAGCAGGGACAUGGUUCAUUUUUACCUUUGUAAGGAUGGAGUUGGGAUACAAAUGGCACCAAUAACGAAAGAUGCUGAAUCUGUUUUCUUGUUGAAAGAAGUUAAAAAAAAACAAUCAGGCAAGUACAGCUGUGUGUACAGCAUAUGUAAACACCCAAUCAGCCAAGUGAAGUCAACAGGGGAUUAUCUGGUCUUACGGAUCAACGGAGAUGAAGACGUGGAAGCAUCAAGUAAAACACCAGUGUCAACACCACCAACAGUCUUCAAAGAGAGACCAGAGAAUGAGGGAGCAGAAGGAAUUCUGGGAUUUAACAGCACAGUAGCCUUGGUCCUCCUAAUUUUGUCACUGUCUGUCCUGAUUUUACUGUGGAGGUACUUGGGGAUCCUGAAACAAAUGAUAAGUAAAUACCAUGGCUCAAGUGAGAUACAGGAUAUGGGUCAAACCUACAAUGUACUCUCUUCUGUACCAGGUACACUAUAUCAG
ensembl:lncRNA